AGUUGGAUUGCUCCGAAUUUCAGUGCCUAUCGGGCAGCCAGUGAACAUUUGUCCAUCUUUAAGGCAUUAAACUGAGAAGAACCACUGAGGAAAGCAUGCCACAGUCUUUCCCAAAAUCCCUGUGUCUUAAGGAACAACCAAGAAGUUAACUGGUCAGGGAAAAGAUUUCUUUUGGAACACAGAAGCCAUCGCUGUGUGCGGAAAUCCAUGACCUGGCCAUGACUUCUACAACCCGGAGGACUUGCCUGGCAUUACCGAAAAGCACAGGGGAAAGAUUCUGUGGCAGAGAAUGAUGGGAGUUGUGAUCCAUACCUCCGUGUGCAUAAUGGUUGUACCUGCUCCAGGAAGGCGCUGGAUCCUCCCAACUCCAUGGGAAGAGAUUAGGACACAAACAACAGACAGAAGGUGACCACAGGAGGACACAGUGAGAAGCUGGCCAUCUGCAAGCCAAGGAGAGAGACCUCAGGAGAAACCAAACCUGCCAGCACCUUAAUCUUAGACUUCUAGCCCUCAGAACGGUGAGGAAAUAAAUCUCUGUUGUUCAUGCCACCCAGUC
rnacentral:lncRNA from 1 species